UCCACCAAAUCCUUUUUCCUUUCUCGUCCGCCUCCCACCCUCUCACAGCAAGAACUCGAAACCCUAAUUCAUAUCAUUCCGUUCUAUCUUACAUCUUCUACCGUUUCUGCAAUAAAACGAAAAUGGGAUCUGAUCGAAUUAGAAGAAUUGAUGUUUUGCAACUUCUGCAUAUAAUUAUUCUUUACAACAACUAAGUGAAUCUAUGAAUUUAGAUUUCAGUUUCAGUAGAUUUUUUUUAUCGAUUACGAGUUUUUUUCGUUACAGUAAUUCUAAUUCUGUUUCUUUUUGUGAUAAACCCCAACAGGAGAAACCCUAAAUUCAUCAGCAAGAAGAAAAGAAUCUGUAGCCUCUAUUUUCCAACAAAAAUUGGUUCUUCUUCGUUUUUCUUGGCUGUUGUGAAGGUUAUAUAUGAAUCUGGAGAAGAGGAGCAUAGUUUUGCUGAGGAAUGGAUAGUAUUAAAUUUGAAGAAGAGGAGGUUAUUGAUGUUGUAUUCAUUAAGCAGAAGAAGAGGAGGGAUAUCUCUGCUGCGAAAUUGGUUCAUUGAUAUUCCAUAGUAGCGAAGUUUUAAUUUACAGUAUCAAGAUGGUGAAGUUUACAGCUGAAGAGCUUAGUCGGAUCAUGGACCUAUAGUGUAAUGUCAGGAACACGUCCCUCUUUGCCCAUUUGGACCAUGAUAAUGCAACUGAAAAUCAACACUUACUGAUUCUGUUGUCUAUUUGCAAACAAAACAUCCAAGAAUAGAUGUUGAAGACUUAAUUAAGAGUUUAUGAAUGAUACGGAGUUUCGGUUUGUCUCAAACUCAAAUGCUAAACCAGAAAUCGUUGGAGAUUCAGAUUAAGAAAACAACGAGAAAUGGUACAAUUGGCUAAAAAGGGGGUUGGAAACGAUCUGCAAAAUUAUAUGAAAGGGAUUGUGGAGCUCACAAGAGGAUGCUAUACAACAGAUGUUUUGUUACUGCUGGUAACAUUUCUUUACCAAUGAUUCGUUUAAUUGUUAACAGAUGGGGAUUAUUUACAAAUCGCGAGGACAGGUACCAAGAGUGAGGGGAAGGUCCUGAAAAGCACAUGCUGAUUGGGUUGACUUUACCAUUGCUUUUAACAAGACUAUGGUCUUUCUAAUUGUAAAUAAUAGUCAGGAAUCAACUAAAUUAGCAAGAGGUGGUUGAAAAGGUGCAUCUUUGGAAGACUACUUGUGAAAACAAUUGAAGUUCUUGGGUAUUUCAUCAGUUAGCAUCAAUGAGCAUACAAGGAGAAUAUAAUGAGAACUUCAAAUGAGUUCUUAUUACAUUACAGUGAACAUCAAGGAGAACACAAGGAGGUGAAAAUACUGGAAAUGGUUUUGUUGCUCGCCUGGAUUGGUUGCUUACACUGCUUAUUAUCCUGGUGGGAAGGCCACAACAUAUGACUUUAUGAUUAGUGGGGGAAAAUAUUUGUCAACUUAUAUAACAAGUGGUGGAACAUAUUGCGCAUUUGAAGCUAUAAGCUUGAUGGGAUUUAUUGAAGAUGACGUUUUGUCCAAAGGGACAACAUCUUCUGUUAUUGAUAUGAAAUCGUUGUUGGAAUGAGGCAAACAAUUGGUGGUGAGUUACAAGGAUGAGCGAACAAGGCGACUGACACCUUUAUGCAUUUUGGAUUGGUGGCAUACUUAGAGUCUUGGGGGUUCAGAACUUCCAUGACAGUGGAGUCGUAUGAGAAAUUAUGCUUACAUGUGAAUCCUAGUUCAAAGACUUCAGAAAUCAUUAUGCUUUGGACUUUUUCGAUCGUGAUAUACAGGGGACAACAUAUGUCGUGCUUGCAGGGAUUUUUUACGCCUUGACUUGAGCUGACUAUGUAUUUUUAUUUCUUAGUUCUAGAGAGCACACUCGUAGAUAAAGAAACCUUGAAUUGAGUUGAUGGUUUGUAUUUCCAAUUCAAGCGACUCGAAAGAAAUUUGGCUUUGUAAACUCCAGGUACUUGAAUAACAACCACUUUAUGGAACACAGAUCGCAUUGGAUGUGCGUAGUUUAUUAGAAUCCGGAUAGUUUGCAGAGGAUAUGUAUAGUUUGCUUAUUGAAAGUAAGAAAAUUCAAUUGUGUUUCAGAUUUAUUUGUAUUUCAGGAUAGUUUGCUGAGAAUAUGUAUUGUUUGAAAUAAGAAAAUUCAAUUGUGUUUCGGUUUAUUUGUA